AUUGAACGCUGGCGGAAUGCUUUACACAUGCAAGUCGAACGGCAGCACGGGGGCAACCCUGGUGGCGAGUGGCGAACGGGUGAGUAAUACAUCGGAACGUGCCCAGUCGUGGGGGAUAACGUAGCGAAAGCUACGCUAAUACCGCAUACGAACUGAGGUUGAAAGCGGGGGAUCGCAAGACCUCGCGCGAUUGGAGCGGCCGAUGGCAGAUUAGGUAGUUGGUGGGGUAAAGGCCUACCAAGCCGACGAUCUGUAGCUGGUCUGAGAGGACGACCAGCCACACUGGGACUGAGACACGGCCCAGACUCCUACGGGAGGCAGCAGUGGGGAAUUUUGGACAAUGGGCGCAAGCCUGAUCCAGCCAUUCCGCGUGCAGGAUGAAGGCCCUCGGGUUGUAAACUGCUUUUGUACGGAACGAAAAGGCGCGGGUUAAUACUUCGGAGGGAUGACGGUACCUGAAGAAUAAGCACCGGCUAACUACGUGCCAGCCGCCGCGGUAAAAC
rnacentral:rRNA from 1 species